rnacentral:rRNA from 1 species
AUUGAACGCUGGCGGCAUGCUUUACACAUGCAAGUCGAACGGCAGCGCGGGCUUCGGCCUGGCGGCGAGUGGCGAACGGGUGAGUAAUACAUCGGAACGUGCCCAGUAGUGGGGGAUAGCUCGGCGAAAGCCGGAUUAAUACCGCAUACGGCCUGAGGGUGAAAGCGGGGGAUCUUCGGACCUCGCGCUAUUGGAGCGGCCGAUGGCAGAUUAGCUAGUUGGUGGGGUAAAGGCCUACCAAGGCGACGAUCUGUAGCUGGUCUGAGAGGACGACCAGCCACACUGGAACUGAGACACGGCCCAGACUCCUACGGGAGGCAGCAGUGGGGAAUUUUGGACAAAGGGCGAAAGCCUGAUCCAGCAAUGCCGCGUGUGUGAUGAAGGCCUUCGGGUUGUAAAGCACUUUUGGCGGGAACGAAAAGGACUGUGCCAAUACCACGGUUCGAUGACGGUACCCGCAGAAUAAGCACCGGCUAACUACGUG